rnacentral:rRNA from 1 species
UACGGAGGGGGCGAGCGUUAUUCGGAAUUAUUGGGCGUAAAGGGCGCGUAGGCGGCCAAACAAGUCAAAGGUGAAAUCCCUCGGCUCAACUGAGGAACUGCCUUUGAAACUGCGUGGCUUGAGUCCGGGAGGGGGUAGCGGAAUUCCCAGUGUAGCGGUGAAAUGCGUAGAUAUUGGGAGGAACACCAGUGGCGAAGGCGGCUACCUGGACCGGAACUGACGCUGAUGCGCGAAAGCGUGGGUAGCAAACAGG